AAAGCCGUUGCAGUCUCUCUUUCUCUCCUUUAGGUCUUUCAAAUCCACUCACUCUCUCUCUCUCCCCCCCUUUUUCCGUCUCCAAAAUCCAGACUCAUCUUCUUCUUCCCACCGAUCUAGAUCUAUGUUUUUUUUUGUUCUUUAACGGAAGGAGGAAAAAUCUCCGUUGAUUGAUUUUAUGAUUAAAGGCAUUUUAUGUUCUUUCAAACCAAUAAAAUAAAAAAUAUCCCAAAUGAUUUACAAUCAUAUUCAUUCAGCCUAACAUGUUUCCAAGUCCCUGUACCGAGCCUUUUCUGUGAUCGAUGACUUGUCUGAACACUAUCAAUUCUGGAUGAUGGAUCUAAGAAUGGUUCCGCUUCUCUGUUGCUGGAGAUGGAUAAUUAUUACACGUUCAAAACUCGGUUGGAAUAGAGUUGUGCAUCAUUUGCUUUUGUUAUGAAUCUUAAUGAAUGGGAAAGAAUCUUUAGGGUCUUGAGUUAGUUGUACAAGAAGGAACGGUUUUAUGGUGUAAGUUUGUGUUAAUUAAUGUAAAUUGUUUGAAUGUAAUGGUGGAGACCUGUUUGUACAAGGAUAAAGUGAAGUAAUAACAAUGUAAUAGUUUUUUGGUUAGGGAGAAGAGACCACUGGGGGACUGCCCCAGGGCUCUUCCUCAUGCGUGUGUGGGUGGUGUGUUGCUUUCUUUCUCUCAUUUCUUUUCCUCUCAACAUUCUGUCUUCAAUAUUUGUCUUACUUUCCCGUCUCCACGUUCUUCUUUACUUUUUCCCUUUUCCACAUUUCCUAUCUAUUUUCACCUUU